AACGUAGGGGUCGAGCGUUAUCCGGAAUUACUGGGCGUAAAGCGCGUGCAGGCGGCGUGGCAAGUGGGACGUGAAAGCUCCUGGCUCAACUGGGAGAGGACGUUCGAGACUGCCAGGCUCGAGAACGGUAGAGGCGAGUGGAAUUCCCGGUGUAGUGGUGAAAUGCGUAGAUAUCGGGAGGAACACCAGAGGCGAAGGCGGCUCGCUGGGCCGGUUCUGACGCUCAGACGCGAAAGCCAGGGGAGAGAACGGG
rnacentral:misc_RNA from 1 species